GCGUUAAUAUUCAAAAUGUUGCGUUCAAGUUACGUCGCGAUAUAUUAAACCUGAAUAAGAAAUAUUUACCAAAUGCUUUAGAGUUAAAACACAUAGUUGAAGGGGAAUGUGACAUUCCGGAUUCUUUACAACAAUUCUUCUCAAAUUUAUUACUUGGUCCUAGAGCAAAACAAAUAGCCACCGAUCAUAUAAGGGUUGGUUCACUUUCUCAAGAUGCAAUAUUUUCUGUUACAAAUGGUAACAUAAAGCCCGGAAAACAUCUAGAGCUCGGACUAGUAAUGAAAUCUCUUACGGGAAGUCGUAAAAUUAUCAACAUUUUAAACAAAUUGGGACACACUGCAAGUUAUUCAGUGGUCGAGGAAAUAGAAACCGAGCUAACAUAUUCAGCAGUAGAGGAAAAGAACAUAGUACCAAAAGAUCUUAAAAGGCUACCCAAUUUGUGUACUUCACUUGCAUUCGAUAAUUUUGAUUGUUUUGUGGAAACUCUGAACGGAAAAGACACAUUGCACGAUACCGUGGGUAUAGUGUACCAAAAUACCUAUAGUGACAAUCAUGAUCAUGCUGAAGUAAGCGCCAAUAGUAAUGUUAAUGAUAUGCAAAUUUCAAAAGGAAAAAAACGACGACGAGUGUUUGAUGCAAUAAAUGAUGAUAUAGAGCCAUAUUAUAAAAAACCUAAACUUAAUACAAUUUUAAAUGUGACAAUUGAAAAAGUAAAUAAGGUUCCAAAUAACAUGCAGUUUGUAAAAAAAAUUGACAAUCUUUUCGUUUUAUUUAUAACUUUAUUGAAUAGAGAUAUUCCAACAUGGGUAGGAUGGAAUAGCCAAAGAAUUCGUGAUGAUCUUCCUCUUCAGAAAAUUUGGUACCUACCACCAAUAAAUGCAUCCCCAACAAAUAAUGCAGUUGUUUUGCACACUUUAAAAAUUGCACAAAAUGUAGCUUCUCAGUGUGCACAAAAAUAUAUCUCUGUCACGUAUGACUUACAAAUUGCAAAGACAGCUAUGCAAAUUCAAUGCCAAGAGUCGCCAAAAUAUGACAAUAUAUUUAUACAUCUAGGCGCUUUUCAUGUACAGUUGUCGUAUUUCAAAGCGGUUGGAAAAUUUUUAGAAGAAUCUGGAGGACCUUAUAUAUUAAUAGAGGCGAAUGUUUUGGCUGCAGGAUCAUUAAAGGGGUUCAUUACAGGCACCCAUUUUAAUAGGUGUAAACGAAUCCAUGGACUUUUAGCUACAGCAAUCCAACGUUUACAUUUAGAAUCAUAUUUCGAAAAGUAUGGAAUUGAUUCAACUGCUUUGAUACCAAGUUUAGAAAAUGUAGAGAGUCUGGAUAAUCUGCCUGCAGACAUAGACGAUAUGUUAAAUAACUAUGAAACAUAUUAUAAAGAUACAGAAAAUGGCCUCUAUGGCAAAACUGCUAAAUAUUGGAUAACUUAUGUGAGCCUUAUAAAAAUAUAUCAAAGAUUCGCAAGAAGCAUACGCACUGGUGACUUUGAGUUGUACGUGUCUUGUUUGCCAAAAAUAGCUUCUGUUAUGUUUGCCAUGAACCAUCACAAUUACUCAAGAUGGCUAUUGCGAUUUUACGACAACAUUGUCGACAUUGAUAGUACCCACCCUGGACUUAAAGAAAAUCUAAUAGCUGGUGGGUUAUCUAUUAGAAGAACUGAAAAGAAUUUUUCACGUACACCUGUAGACCUUACUUUAGAACAGACUAUUAAUGCAGAUGCUUCUGGUAAGGCUGGAGGAGGAAUUGCGGCGCUUACAAACUCUAUAUCUGCAAGAAAACGGUGGGCUGUUAGUCAUUCUCUUCGAACUUCAUUAACCACUCAUCUUUUAGAUAAAUUAAAUUUAUCUAACAUGGAAGAUAUUACUAACGAAACGCGACCUCAUAUAAUGGAAAAAAAUUAUACUGCUCUCUCAGAAAUAAGAAAUGGCAUUCAAAAUACACUAAAUCCUUUUGAUAGCAGAAUUAAUAAAACUAAACUGUUUAAUUUAGCAACGGGAAAGGCAGCUAGUGGAAAUACUGAAGAUUUCUUGCUAAAUGUGUUGCAAAUUGGAGAAAAGGCUAGGAAUGAUUUUCUAAUAGAAUGUAAAAAUAAUAAUGAAAGAUUUGAAAGUCCUAUUAAAAGACAAAAGGUUUAUACUUUUGCCUCAGAGUCCAAGAAACUUGUAAAGAGGGAUGGAAAAGACACUGAGGUCAAACUGGAAAGAGACUUAAUGGGAAGAAUGCUAAUAUUAGCGUUAGAAAAUAACAUUGAUCUGGAAUUAAUAAUGCAGUAUCCAUUAACAUCUAUUCCGUUAUCAUUAGGUCAUAUUGACGGAGCUAUAAACAAAACAGCAAAAUCGGCUUUAUUUAAAUAUUUAGAAAAAAGAACAAAUCAUUGUCAUCCCACUGUAGUCAAUUGCACCUUGGUUGAUGGUUUCUAUUUUCUGCACCUUAUAGCAGCCAAUCUGCCUAUGACAUUCGGUAAACUGGCUGGACAAAUUCUGUCAAAAAUUUGCCAACUAAAGGGAAAUAGAAUUGAUAUUAUUUUCGAUAAAAUAAUUAGUCCGUCUAUUAAAGAUCUCGAGCGAGAGUCUCGGGGAAUUUUUGACAGAGAUGUCGAAUAUAGCAUUACCGGACCUGACCAGAAACGACCUACAGAUUUAUUUAAGGCACUCAGAUCAGAUAAAUUCAAGUCCUCGUUGGUAGAAUUUCUAGUCCAGGAAUGGUGCCAAGAUCAUUAUGCCACUAUUUUAGGGGACAAAAUUAUUUACGUAAAUUGUAAUGAUAUAUGUUACAAAUAUAGUAACGCAAAUGGAUUUAUGUUACAAGAAAUUAAAGAAGAACUAAUAUGUUACCAUGAAGAAGCCGAUUCCAGGAUAGUAUUUCAUUUGUCUAAACUUCCAGAAGACAGCAAUGUCGUUAUAAAAGCUUCGGAUACGGAUAUAUUCAUUAUCGCCCUGGGAAAUUUUUAUGUAUUGCCUCAAAAUUUAUCAAUUUGGAUUGAAACAGGUAAUAGGAAAUAAUUAUUACCCACGGUGAAAUCUAUUUUGCUUUAAAUACAUUUUUAGGUACACAGCGUAACAACACAUUAAGAUACAUCCACUUGAAUGCCAUAAUUCUUAGUUUAGGCCCGGAACUAUGUAAUGCUAUGCCAGCUUUUCAUGCAAUUACGGGUUGCGAUUACACCGCAGCUUUUGCAAGAAAAGGAAAACUGAAGCCAUUCAAAAUUUUAGAACAAGAUAAGGACAUGCAGGCAGUUUUUGCAACUUUCGGCAAUUCUGAAAACGUAGAUGAAAAACAAAUUAAGGCAGUUGAAAAAUUCGCUUGCCUAAUAUACGGAAAAAGACAAACAACAGAAAUAAAUAAAGCAAGAUACGAAAUUUUCUUAGACGCAUAUAAACCCAAACAUAAUGACAAUGAGAUAUUUAAUCGAAUACGGCAAUUCGAUGGUAGCUCACUUCCACCAUGCUCAGAUGUACUUUUAAUGAAAAUUAAAAGAGUCAACCAGGUUUGUGGUAUUUGGAGACAUGCCACACAAAGAUCCCCUAAAUUUUACCUGCCUGAAAACCACGGUUGGAUUAUUGAUAACAAUUUGUACACACUACGCUGGUACGCAGGGCCCCAAUUUCCCGAAAAAUUGGAAGAUAUCCUAA